AGCCCGGGGCUCAACCUCGGAAUUGCAUUUGAAACUGGCAGACUAGAGUACUGUAGAGGGGGGUAGAAUUUCAGGUGUAGCGGUGAAAUGCGUAGAGAUCUGAAGGAAUACCGGUGGCGAAGGCGGCCCCCUGGACAGAUACUGACACUCAGAUGCGAAAGCGUGGGGAGCAAACAGGAUUAGAUACCCUGGUAGUCCACGCCGUAAACGAUGUCUACUUGGAGGUUGUGGCCUUGAGCCGUGGCUUUCGGAGCUAACGCGUUAAGUAGACCGCCUGGGGAGUACGGUCGCAAGAUUAAAACUCAAAUGAAUUGACGGGGGCCCGCACAAGCGGUGGAGCAUGUGGUUUAAUUCGAUGCAACGCGAAGAACCUUACCUACUCUUGACAUCCAGAGAACUUUCCAGAGAUGGAUUGGUGCCUUCGGGAACUCUGAGACAGGUGCUGCAUGGCUGUCGUCAGCUCGUGUUGUGAAAUGUUGGGUUAAGUCCCGCAACGAGCGCAACCCUUAUCCUUGUUUGCCAGCGAGUAAUGUCGGGAACUCCAGGGAGACUGCCGGUGAUAAACCGGAG
rnacentral:rRNA from 1 species